rnacentral:rRNA from 1 species
GAUGAGUUUGAUCGUGGCUCAGGAUGAACGCUGGCGGCGUGCCUAAUACAUGCAAGUCGAGCGAACAGAUAAGGAGCUUGCUCCUUUGACGUUAGCGGCGGACGGGUGAGUAACACGUGGAUAACCUACCUAUAAGACUGGGAUAACUUCGGGAAACCGGAGCUAAUACCGGAUAAGAUUUUGAACCGCAUGGUUCAAUAGUGAAAGACGGCCUUGCUGUCACUUAUAGAUGGAUCCGCGCCGUAUUAGCUAGUUGGUAAGGUAACGGCUUACCAAGGCAACGAUACGUAGCCGACCUGAGAGGGUGAUCGGCCACACUGGAACUGAGACACGGUCCAGACUCCUACGGGAGGCAGCAGUAGGGAAUCUUCCGCAAUGGGCGAAAGCCUGACGGAGCAACGCCGCGUGAGUGAUGAAGGUCUUCGGAUCGUAAAACUCUGUUAUCAGGGAAGAACAAACGUGUAAGUAACUGUGCACGU